rnacentral:rRNA from 1 species
GAUGAACGCUAGCGGCAGGCCUAACACAUGCAAGUCGAGGGGCAGCAUGAAAGUAGCUUGCUACUUUUGAUGGCGACCGGCGCACGGGUGCGUAACAGGUGUGCAAUCUGUCCAUAAUCGGGGAAUAGCCCAGCGAAAGUUGGAUUAAUGCUCCAUGUGAGUUUUAGAGGCAUCUCUUUAAUUUGAAACGUAAGGAUUAUGGGUGAGCACGCUUCUGAUUAGGUAGUUGGUGAGGUAACGGCUCACCAAGCCGACGAUCAGUAGGGGUUCUGAGAGGAAGGUCCCCCACAUUGGAACUGAGACACGGUCCAAACUCCUACGGGAGGCAGCAGUGAGGAAUAUUGGUCAAUGGACGCAAGUCUGAACCAGCCAAGUCGCGUGAAGGAUGAAGGUUCUAUGGAUUGUAAACUUCUUUUGUCUGAGGGUAAAAAAGCGGACGUGUCCGUUCUUGCAAGUAUCAGACGAAUAAGCAUCGGCUAACUCCGUGCCAGCCGCCGCGGUAAUAC